ensembl:lncRNA
UAAUUGUUGUCCAUGUAAACGCAGCUAUUCACUGAUGCUCAAGAAGGUAACAAUGCAUUAAGAGCCUGGCUGUAAACUUUUUAACAGGAUGAUUGUGUAAAUUGUUUUGUCUUCUGGGAUACAUGUAUAUCUUAUUUAGCUUCUGAAUGGCUGUAAUAAAUGAAAAAAAUAAGAUCUUUAAACAAACUAAUAACAAUUUACACUGAUCAUCCUAUUAAAAUGUUUACACCCCCCUGGCUCUUAAUGUAUUUUCUUACCCUGAUUAGUUUCUAAUGACUGGUUAGUUUCUUGGUGUAAUGAACAGAAUCUGCUGUUUGUUAAUAACUGGAACCUGUUCUGGGAGCAUCCUAGGUUGUUUUGUCCUGAUGGCCUGCACCCCAGCAGCCUCAGAGUGGAACUGCUGUCAGACAACAUCUCCAAGGCGCUACACACCAAGUGACUGCCUACCGUCAAGCUGAACAGCAGACAGUGCAAUCCUGAAAGUCUCCUGGAGCUCCUUUUCAAAAAUAUCGGCGAUGUCCUUCCUCAGUAAAGCCAACAGCUCAAGCCUGAGUGCGGUGAAGUCAAAGUCAUUGCUCGGCGACACAGAUUCAGGGGAAGAAGAGACUCGCUCGCGGCGCGCACACUUGCCCUCAGUCAUGUCUGAAUGCUACCAUGGGUUUUCAUGUUCUUUCCAGACAUUUUAACAUACCACAAAGUUAAAAGUGCAAACAAGGAAACGGAGUAGGAUAAGUCAAAAUCUAUUGUAUG